CUUCAGCUGAAAUAAAAUAUACUAUGAAAGUGGCUUUAAUACCCUGAAGACACAAUAGCUAAGACCCAAACUGGGAUUAGAUACCCCACUAUGCUUAGCCCUAAACCCUGAUAGUUACAUUAACAAAA